rnacentral:misc_RNA from 1 species
GUUCGAAUGAGUUAUUUUUUUAAUGAGAUUCUAAACUUGUUAUUUCUGCUACUAAGGAUGCUUUCUGUCCUUUUACCAUCUAAGGCAUUACGCUUGAUAUUUCUCAUUGUACUAGGGAGUUUAUUUUUGUAUUUUCUAGCAUGUCUAUAGGCAUUAUAACCAGGUGGCCCAUGCUUUGGCAACCACUACAUGACCUUCCAGCAUCUUUU